rnacentral:misc_RNA from 1 species
AAGUCGUAACAAGGUUUCCGUAGGUGAACCUGCGGAAGGAUCAUUACCGUGAAUUUUUUGUCAAUUUGCAUCAGUAAUUUGACAAACAUUCUCCCACCCUUUGUUCAUUACAAUUUGAUUCUUUGGCGAAACGUUUGGUUAACCCAACCGUUGACAAGCUUGUGAACGAGUGUUCGCCAAAGUUUUUUUAUCAAACUCUUUUACAGUUUUGACCUUUGCUGUCUGAGUUUUUGAUAUAAAUAUUUAAAAUUAAAA